rnacentral:rRNA from 1 species
AACGAACGCUGGCGGCAUGCCUAACACAUGCAAGUCGAACGAGAUCUUCGGGUCUAGUGGCGCACGGGUGCGUAACGCGUGGGAAUCUGCCCUUUGGUUCGGAAUAACAGUUGAAAACGACUGCUAAUACCGGAUGAUGACGAAAGUCCAAGAUUUAUCGCCAGAGGAUGAGCCCGCGUAGGAUUAGCUAGUUGGUGUGGUAAAGGCGCACCAAGGCGACGAUCCUUAGCUGGUCUGAGAGGAUGAUCAGCCACACUGGGACUGAGACACGGCCCAGACUCCUACGGGAGGCAGCAGUGGGGAAUAUUGGACAAUGGGCGAAAGCCUGAUCCAGCAAUGCCGCGUGAGUGAUGAAGGCCUUAGGGUUGUAAAGCUCUUUUACCCGGGAUGAUAAUGACAGUACCGGGAGAAUAAGCUCCGGCUAACUCCGUGCCAGCCGCCGCCGUAAGAC